rnacentral:rRNA from 1 species
AGCCUAGAGUCUUGUAGAGAGGGGUAGAAUUCCAGGUGUAGCGGUGAAAUGCGUAGAGAUCUGGAGGAAUACCGGUGGCGAAGGCGGCCUCCUGGACAAAGACUGACGCUCAGGUGCGAAAGCGUGGGGAGCAACCAGGUUUAGAUACCCUGGUAGUCCACGCCGUAAACGAUGUCGACUUGGAGGUUGUGCCCUUGAGGCGUGGCUUCCGGAGCUAACGCGUUAAGUCGUCCGCCUGGGGAGUACGGCCGCAAGGUUAAAACUCAAAUGAAUUGACGGGGGCCCGCACAAGCGGUGGAGCAUGUGGUUUAAUUCGAUGCAACGCGAAGAACCUUACCUACUCUUGACAUCCAGAGAACUUUCCAGAGAUGGAUUGGUGCCUUCGGGAACUCUGAGACAGGUGCUGCAUGGCUGUCGUCAGCUCGUGUUGUGAAAUGUUGGGUUAAGUCCCGCAACGAGCGCAACCCUUAUCCUUUGUUGCCAGCGGUCCGGCCGGGAACUCAAAGGAGACUGCCAGUGAUAAACUGGAGGAAGGUGGGGAUGACGUCAAGUCAUCAUGGCCCUU